UUUGAUCUCAGACUGCUGUGCUAGCAAUCAGCGAGACUCCGUGGGCGUAGGACCCUCCCAGCCAGGUGCCGGAUAUAAUCUCCUGGUGCAUCGGUUUUUAAGGCCGUGGGAAAAGUGCAGUAUUCAGGUGGGAGUGAUCCGAUUUUCCAGCUGCCGUCUGUCACCGCUUUCUUUGACUAGGAAAGGGAACUCCCUGACCCCUUGCGCUUCCCAAGUGAGGCAAUGCCUCGCCCUGCUUCAGCUCGCGCACGGUGUGCGCACCCACUGACCUGCGCCCACUGUCUGGCACUCCCUAGUGAGAUGAACCCGGUACCUCAGAUGGAAAUGCAGAAAUCACCCGUCUUCUGCGUCGCUCACGCUGGGAGCUGUAGACCGGAGCUGUUCCUAUUCGGCCAUCUUCACCAACACUGUAUUUUCUAACAUCUCUUCUGCUAGAGCUACAAGUCUAGGAGGCAGCUGGUCCAUUCUCCUGACAUGCUAUGAUCAGUUGCUUCCAUUUGAAUCACUGUCAAGAAAGAAUGAAGCAGCCAAUUCUUUUGGAGGAAGUUGAUAGUCUCUUUUUGGGUGUGUGACAGACAGCACAAUGAUACCUGUGUGGAAGAGGAUGAGGAUGAGGUGGGAGCUACAAGUGCUCAGAGCCUUGGACAUUGCUUCUGCUGAGUUCAGCCUCAGCACAGAGUGAAGGAUUACAGCAUAGGAAGAAAAUACCAGAGCCAUAUCACUCCCAACCAAGACCCAUGCUAGCAUCAGUUGGUAAAAUUUGUUCACAGUGAUGUCAUCACAAGCCAGGCUGAUAACCCCCAAGUUAGAGCAGAGGCAGUGCUCGAUUUCAUUCCUGGAACAGUAGUGUCUCUGGGCAGCCAGUAUAGGCACUGGGAUGGUCAACAGGCCAUUCCUGAGCAUGAUGAACCCUGUGGCUUUGAAGACAAAAGCUUUAGUGACUAUGGAGGGGUACUGAAGAGGGCGACAGAUGGCUAUGUAUCUGUCUACUGCCAUGCAGA
rnacentral:lncRNA from 10 species